rnacentral:misc_RNA from 1 species
UGCCAUUUGAUGCAUUUACAACCUGCAAAAACACAUAAGCAGUAGUUUAAUAUUAGUUCCAAGCCCAAUUUUUCCAUCCCCACAUAUUUUCAAAUGAAACUAUAGAUUAUGCUUUUCAUUUUUUGAGUCAAGUUUACGGUUUCAUCCAAGUAAAUAAUCAGUGGCAGAAUUCAACCCAGGCACAUUAAAUCAUGUGUAGUCAGAUUUUUUAUUCAUACAACCUAUUUCCUGCAUCUUGCAUCAUUUCAAAAGCUUGAAUGCACAAGAGAAGAAAUAAUAGCUGAGCAGUUGCAGAUUGCAAGAACUUGGAGUCCUUUUGGUGCCCAAUUGCUCCAAUUGCAGUAAGUUAAUACAGCCAUGACAAUGGGAACCGACAUGAUUAAAAGAAGCAUUCACCAAAUACAUGAGUGUUGAGGACUGCAUAUGGACACAACACAAUGCUAAGUCGUUGGUCAUGGAAACUCAACAACAAACCUUGGUCCCUAGCACUUGUGUCCAGCUGUAACAUCCUCGCCCUCUAGAUCACUAUAAACUAUGUAGUCUAUUCGGCUUUCAUCUUUAAAAAACCACAAAAUUUGAACAAUGUAUGGGCAUUAAUUCUUAGCAUAAAGGCAACCAAACCAGUGAACCAUGUUGUCCAAGUGUUCCAUAUCCAUCAAUACGUACAUUGAUAGUCAGCAUGAGAAGUCCAUUGCAUGGUUCUACAGGUAAAUUAUGUGUUCAGCAAAGUAAAAAGGAAAAUAACGGGAGGGGGAAAGAGAGUGAAUAAUUGACAGGAGUCCAAGAUAAUGAAGCUUAAUAUUUAACAUGGGCUAUUUUGAAACCCACAGCAAUUCUUUGAAGAUAAGAAAAAAGAAGAGGCAACUGAGAAAAAUAAUCCUACGCCACAGCCUUGUUGAUAGCAUGUAAUUCCUGUUCUUUUUUUUCUAUUUAGAACCCUGUUGCAUCAUAUAUUGCACUACAAUUAUUAAAUACAUGAACAGUAACACGAGUUUCUAAUGUUUCACAAAUAUUAUUAACUAACUAUAAAAACCACAAUUUUUUUUUUCUUUUACCAAACACGACUAAUACUUCAUUUGGAACCCAUAUGCCAUUGACUACCAUGUUGAUCCGCCCCAACCCAAUUGACCUCCACGUUUGUUCUAAAUAACUAGGUUCACCAUUCACCUAUUUUGUUGCUUCAUACUCCGUAUUUUUUUUUUCAUACUAAUAAACAAUAAUUCGUAUACUUUAAAUCUUUUUUAUGCAUGAUGUACCAAAUUGUGCUGCUGAUACUGACUUAUGUAAAAAAAGAUGAGCUAAACAUUUAUAUUUUGCAAAGCAUUCAUCCAACAGAAGCCCUAACACAAACUCCAAGAAAA